UGUGUUUGAUUGAUUGAUAGAUGUCUCAUUACAAAGCCCUAGGGUCCAUAUUUAUACCCUGCUCAAAGAGCUAUAACUAAACACGACCAGAAUUCGAAUUCCAAAUUACACGAAAUCCGCAUACAAAACGACUUAAACAAAUAAGGAAAUAACUCAGCUAUCCCUCGUGACAAAUUGAAACUCUUCCACAACCUGAUCAGCAGCUUCCAGACUCCCCCUCCGUAUCAUCGGCAGACUCUUUUGCCAUGGUCAUCGGCAGACCUCCUCAUCAUAGUCAUCGGCAUAGACACAUCAUCACCUGUAAACUUAGUCACGUCCAACCUCUCCUUUAUCGGCAACCAUCCUCAUCGGCAACUCAUCCUGUAAACCACAUACUGUCAUCUUAUCCUGCCAUCCCGGACACGUGCCCAAAAACGGUGUCAACAGUAGAGAAUAAUAUAUUACUAGCACUUGUUCAAACAAAGAGAAUUAUGUUCUAUUAAAUUGAUAAGUUAACUAACAACACAUGAUAAAUACAAAGAUAUAGAAAAAUAUUUGGGUAAUUCGGGUACCUGGGGAUAUUACUUGAAUUACCUAAACUAAUUUCGGGUAAUCAAAAUCGCUAUCCGAAUUUAGGAUCGGGUAGCUCGGUCGGAUAAUUUGGAUCCGGGUCCGGGUAAUUCGGGUACGGUAAUGGGUAUCGGGUAAUUUCCGCAGACUUUAGGUUCUCCGCCCUCGCGCGCUCCUCUACCAUGGCCGGCGGCGUCGCCUCCGCCUCCGCGUCCCUCCCCGACGUGCCCAAGUCGGCGCCGGCCCCGGAGGAGGCAAGCAGAAUCAGCUCCGCGUGGAGCUGUUCAACUACGGCCCCAGAUCUGCGUAGGUAAGUACGGGCGUCCUCCAGACCCACCUCCGCCCGUCGCGCUGCCGCCGCUCGCGGCUACCACCUGGAGAUCGUUGGUUCGAUGCCUGGAUUUAGCCAGUUUGUAGGCGAGCUUUUCCCCGUCACAGCAUUUCGCGGUUGCUUUCGCCGAUUACUCUAUAAGCUGCUAGACAAGGAAAUUCCGUGGGUGGGAAUGGGCUGGAAGUUUCCAGAAGGUCUCCGCGUGCUGCCACGGCCUCUGGAAGGA
rnacentral:lncRNA from 1 species